GAAACUGCAGGUUCCACAAUAGGGUGCUGAACAGUUGACACGUUAGCUGGAGAAGGAGAAAAGGUGGACAUGUCCAUAGGAUGGGAGUAAGCAAGCGUAACAGGCGCUGUGAACGUGUGAUUAGUUUCAACAGUGGCUGCAACCUUUGAACAAGUUGCCUCUCUCGACCGGGCAAGAAUAAUGGGGCAAUUUUCAUGUCUAUGACCGAUAAUAACACAAGAAAAAUAGAAUAAAUCGAG
rnacentral:lncRNA from 1 species